rnacentral:rRNA from 1 species
UAGUCCACACCGUAAACGAUGAAUGCCAGUCGUCGGCAGGCAUGCCCGUCGGUGACACACUUACCGGAGUAAGCAUUCCGCCUGGGGAGUACGGCCGCAAGGUUAAAACUCAAAGGAAUCGACGGGGGCCCGCACAAGCGGUGGAGCAUCUGGUCAAUUCGAAGCAACGCGCAGAACCGUACCAACCCUUGACAUCCUGAUCGCGGUUUCUCGAGAGAGAUUCCUUCAGUUCGGCUGGAUCAGUGACAGGUGCUGCAUGGCCGUCGUCAGCUCGUGUCGUGAGAUGUUCGGUUAAGUCCGGCAACGAGCGCAACCCACACGCCUAGUUACCAGCGGUUCGGCCGGGGACUCUAGGGGAACUGCCCGUGAUAAGCGGGAGGAAGGUGUGGAUGACGUCAAGUCCUCAUGGCCCUUACGGGUUGGGCUACACACGUGCUACAAUGGCAGUGACAAUGGGUUAAUCCCCAAAAACUGCCUCAGUUCGGAUUGUCGUCUGCAACUCGACGGCAUGAAGUCGGAAUCGCUAGUAAUCGCGUAACAGCACGACGCGGUGAUACGUUCCCGGGCCUUGUACACACCGCCCGUCACACCAUGGGAGUUGGUUCUACCUGACGACGGUGCGCUAACCUUCGGGAGGCAGCCGGCCACGGUAGGAUCA